rnacentral:rRNA from 1 species
CAACGCGAAGAACCUUACCUACUCUUGACAUCCACAGAACUUUCCAGAGAUGGAUUGGUGCCUUCGGGAACUGUGAGACAGGUGCUGCAUGGCUGUCGUCAGCUCGUGUUGUGAAAUGUUGGGUUAAGUCCCGCAACGAGCGCAACCCUUAUCCUUUGUUGCCAGCACGUCAUGGUGGGAACUCAAAGGAGACUGCCGGUGAUAAACCGGAGGAAGGUGGGGAUGACGUCAAGUCAUCAUGGCCCUUACGAGUAGGGCUACACACGUGCUACAAUGGCAUAUACAAAGAGAAGCAAACUCGCGAGAGCAAGCGGACCUCAUAAAGUAUGUCGUAGUCCGGAUCGGAGUCUGCAACUCGACUCCGUGAAGUCGGAAUCGCUAGUAAUCGUAGAUCAGAAUGCUACGGUGAAUACGUUCCCGGGCCUUGUACACACCGCCCGUCACACCAUGGGAGUGGGUUGCAAAAGAAGUAGGUAGCUUAACCUUCGGGAGGGCGCUUACCACUUUGUGAUUCAUGACUGGGGUGAAGUCGUAAC